CCUGGUGUUGGAAAUCCCCACAGAAUUCAUGCCCCAAAGCCGUGGUUAUCAUCUCGAUGUCGCAUAGGAGGAAAUGAAGGCCGAGGACUCCAGAGAUUCGUCCAAGCUCAAGGUCAACCAGUGACAAAGUCGGAGCUGAACCCAGAUCCCAUGCUGGGUGGUGGGAAGAGUGAUUUGGCUUUGACGGCUCUAGUACAGGACGGCUUGCUCUGCCACCUGCCACCCUCCAUCGAAUCCCCUCCGAGGGUCCUCCCAGGACUGCUCCUCCACCCCUAACUAAUGUCCUAAUACUGGGCCUCUGCCUCAUCAGCGUUCCCUGCCACCCGACACUCUGGGUGCGGCACCAUUUUAAUGCACGGCUCCUGUCUUUCAGGAGCCCUUGCUUGGUUGAAGCAAUCAGACCACUCACACACAGAAAGGGAUCCCACAGAGCAGAACGCAGGAAGCGCUCCUGGACCUCCUGGGCUUUACAGUUGCAGCUACACAUGCUGCUUCCUGAGCAUUCCUUUAGGUCAAAACAGGCAACAUUUGUUUGCCUUCGCCUGGAAAGUCAACAGCAUCCCUGGACUUGCUCCCCAGAGUUACAGGGGCUCCUCCUGCUUUUCACAAGUCUGGGAACGCAGCCUCAAGGUCAUUACGUUUCCUUUCAUUCUGCUCCUGUUUGACGCACGGAGGACCUGCUGUUGGGUCCCUACGACCGAUUCCAGCUCCUGUUUGCUCUCAGCCAGGGCCUGCGGUUUUCAGAGGAGUUACCAUUUUGCCAAAAUAAAGUUCAUUCUGCAGGACAGGACUGAGUCGGGGCUGUAAAUCCUCGUGGCAGCUGCAGGCCAUCCAAAACUUUCCCGGUUAUUCCUCAGACCGUGAAGCUGAGGCCUCGCUCCAGCAGGAAGGGGGCUGGCGGCUCUCCGGUGACCACACACACUGCUAACCGCGUGCAGACCUGUCCCUUGGGAAUCUGAACACGAGGGGACUCUGAGUUAAGCAAGCCCCUCAGCGACCUGCUCUCUGGCCUUACCAAAUCACCAUAGACCAUUCGACCACAAAGUUCAGGAAAACGCACAUGAUAAACAACUCGGCAUGGAUUUCAAAAACUGUUUUUUUUUUUUUUGCACCAAAAUAGACUUUUUAAAAUUCCAUUUCCCUGCAAACUUUGUGAAGUCCCCUUGUACAUGGGAAACAUGGAGAAACCUUUGAUGUGAUGACUUGAUUUCAUGGUGAUGGAAACCAGGAUAUGUCACCUCAAAAUAUGCCUGUUGGACACAAAAAUUAUUUUUGAGCUACAGGCACUUAAAAAGCAGCAAAUGGAGGGAAACACUCUCUCAUCCUUUUUUUUUUUUUUUUCGCCCCAAGAUGGGUCGGAAUCCUCCUGUGCUGGACGCAGCUCUUACCAGGCCAGCCAGAGGCAGCAGCAGAGGAGCCUGCAAACCAACCCACUCCACUGGUGUGGGCAUUAGCUGGUGCACGUGCUCCCACGUGCUCACCUCCCCUCGGUUUCCCUCCUCUUUCUGCACAUUUGUUGCUCCUGGUUGAAGACGCUGUCUGAACCAGAGUUCUAAGCCCCUGCCUGGAGUUUUGUUCGCUGAGGCUUCUCUCGCAUGAUAUACACGGAAUGCAUGGAUAAAC
ensembl:lncRNA